AAUGGAGGAAGACUGGACCUACUGAUUCAAUUUGGAGAUGAGCGGGUCUGUCCUCUUCACGGCGGGAGAGAGGUGGAGAUGCUUUCUGACCCCGUCGAGGUCAUCCCUGUUCUGGGCCUUACAUAAUUUCUGCUGUCGGAAAAAAUCCACUACACCUAAGAAAAUUACUCCCAAUGUUACUUUUUGUGAUGAAAAUGCAAAGGAGUCCGAAAAUGCACUUGACAAGCUCUUCUCUUCAGAACAGCAGGCUUCCAUCUUGCAUGUGUUGAAUACAGCAUCUACUAAAGAACUUGAAGCUUUCCGAUUGCUUCGUGGAAGAAGGUCCAUCAAUAUCGUAGAGCACAGAGAAAACUUUGGGCCAUUUCAGAAUUUAGAGAGUUUAAUGAAUGUGCCCUUGCUUAAGUAUAAAAGUACAGUUCAAGUUUGUAACUCCAUACUUUGUCCAAAGACUGGAAGGGAAAAAAGAAAGUCACCGGAAAACCGGUUCCUGAGAAAGCUCCUCAAACCAGACAUAGAAAGAGAAAGACUUAAGGUAUAUUCUUCAUAUCUGCUAUAUUGC
rnacentral:sRNA from 1 species